UUUCCAUUUUGACACUGAAAAUUGUUCCAAUUAAACACUUCAACUUCAACAAAAGUGUAUCAAUUAAACACAAAAUACACCAUCUACAAAAAAACUCACGCUCCUAGUCACAACUCACAAGUGCUUCCUUUCUGUAAAAGCAAACAAAUAAAAAUCUGCCACCUGUUUUUUUACCUCCACGUAAUGUCAAUCUGGAUUAAAAUUAAAAAACAAUCCUUUUUAGGGGAAAACUCACCAUUUCUUUAUUCAUUUCAUGUUCACGUAAAUCUGAAAAGAGUGGCACAGAGUUCGGCAAUGGAAGUGAAAAUUUAUUCAACAACUUAGUUCUCCAUCAUAGAUAUAUAUCACCAUUUUGCUAAGGUAAAAGGACUUUAUUUCCCUGUACUUAAUGGAGCCAAAAAAAAGAAGGUGAAGCAAAUUCUUUGCUUUAAGAAAGUGACUAUGAAAAAAGAACUGAAGAAGUUCAGAGAACUUAUUGUUGGAUUUAAGCUCAUCUCUGUUUGCUUUUUUUCUUUUGGUGGGUUUGUCUCAAUAUUUGAAUCCUCAGCCUAAUUGUGUUGAUGGCUAUUUGGUUUUGAGCUUGGUUGACGUCUGAAGCCUCAAUCGAACUCUUUCACUCUGCUGUCUGCAAAAACCACCAUGCUUAUCAUUGCCAGAGGAAACAGAGAAUCCAUGAAGAGAUCAACCCAAACUUGAAGAUCUAAUUCUAGUAUUUAUGCUAGCAACCUCGAAAUCUUAGGAUUGUGUCUUUCAAGUUAAUUGAUUAUUGCUCAAAAAUGAGAUAAAUCUGUAAGAAAACCAGACAGAGAAACUAGGAGGAAGAAAAGUCGACGGGAGAUAUGGUGAUGGUAGAGAAAAUGAACAAGAAACAAAAGAAAAAAAACAAAUUUUGUUUGAAGAAGGGAAUAAUAUUAUUUGCAGAAUUGGAUUCAAAGGGGAAGAGAAUUCUUAAUAGUGAUAAGUUACAAUAUCCCCAUUUAAGAAUAAGAACUCAAAGGAGGUAUUGAGGAGAGUGGAAUCUGGUGUGGCGGUGUGGAUAAAUGGUGUCCAUUAUACUCAAGCCCAUGUGGAGGAGAGCAUAAUGGCACAGUUUUACACUAACUCUGUGUUCUAUUUUGCAGGUUUCAGGCAUACUUGGAGUUUGCAGAGGAGGGACAUAUGUUGCACCGGGGCCGCAACAACUACAUAUGGUGUGUGUAUCAACGAUCCUUCUUCUGGAAAUCAUUUGAUGCGUACAAGAUUCAGAAGACACAACAUUUACUGCUCCAUUGAUCCACUCUGCACAGGAUAUGAUAUGGUUACAGAUUACUUGGUGCGGCUCAGGUUUUAUGGAUCCAGUUCUUGCUCAAAGAAUUGGAUCACUACUGGUGUCUUUGGUGCAUUGAUCCUAUCUCUAUAGGAUAUGAUAUGCAGUGGGCACAGGAAACAAAAGCAGGAAGGAGUACUGCAGGAAUUUGGCUAUACAGUGGUGCAGGAACCAAUAUGAUCUGUAUAUUGACUAAGUUGCAGGGUGUGGUAUUGGCAAUUAUUACUCAAUCUGCUGCAACUGUGACAAUACAUGGAAAGUAUUUGGUCUCUUGUAUUAUUUGGUCUCUUGUAUAGGAUGGGAUUAUGCAAUACAUGGAAACUGCACAAAGGACUUGGAUACUGCAAAGGAGAAGCUUCAGGACUGUCUUCAUACUUAAAUCCAUGUGGAGGAGGAUAUGGAGAUGGAUUUCAUACUCAAAUCCAUGUGGAGGAGGAUAUGGAGAUAGAUUGUUAUAAUUGGUUGUUCUAUUUUGCAGGUUAUUUAAGUAGAUAUAGUGGUAUAUUAGUCACAACUCCUAAUAGGAAGCAGACAUGGACAGUAGAGGAUGAUAUACACAGCUAUAUCAUGGAUAUACAGGUGACAGCAAAAGUGGAAAACUGCAGCAGGACCAACAGAACAACAUAGUUGGAUGGUCAUUUAGCAGCAACAAAUAUUCAGAGGUGGACUAGUAUGUGCACCAAGGAACUCAGACUAGGGACACAUCAUUUUGAUACACAACAAGGCACAAGGAAGAUGACAGGAAGCAGUACUGGUGAUGCAGCAACUGUUACUGUCUACUGGCAUAUCUUUGUGCAUGGUUUUAUUGAUUAUGGACCAUGCAUGAUGCACUUUUUACUUAGCUUUUUAGUUUAUAUCAUACUUCAUAAUAAUUCUUUGUAGUGCCAAUUUAGGAUAUCCUAUGAAUCCUAGAUUGGUCAUUAGAUUACUAAGUACAUUUUUUAAGCCUUUUGGCUACAUUGUAAAGACUU